AGUUUAUGCUAAUUUUAAGGGAUUGAUGUGAAGUUUGUUUGGAUUAAAUUUGAUUGAUAAUGUGAUUGACAAUUUAAAUUAAAAAUUUAAAGUAAAAUUAAUUAUUUUGGAAAAAGAUUUAAUGCUAAUGGUAUUGGGUUGUAAAUAAGUCCAACUCUAAGAUUUAUUUGCUAAAAUGGCUGCAAAAAUGUAUAUGUAGAUUGAGCCUUUCAGAUCCAUAUGAAGUAAUUUCAUCUGU
rnacentral:sRNA from 1 species